rnacentral:rRNA from 1 species
AUGGCUCUGUUCAAGGACCAGAAAGAGCUCGUUGGUAUUGAUGAUUCAUUGAAUGAGCUAACCAAGAAGAUGAGUGAUGGGGAUUUUUAUGCGUCCAAGCAACUCAAGAUACUCUCUAUUUUCGGAUUUGGAGGCCUUGGCAAGACAACUCUUGCCAAAGCAGUGUAUGAUAAGCUUAAAGUGCAGUUUGAUUACAGUGCUUUUGUUCCGGUAGGACGGAACCCUAGUGUGAAGAAAGUUCUCAAUGACAUACUCCUUGAAAUUGACGAGCAAAAGUACUUAGAGUUGGAUGAAAGGCAGCUAAUCAACAAACUCAAAGGAUUACUCGAGAACAAAAGGUAUGCACCGUAUUAUGUAGUUUCAUAUACUUUAAAUAGUAAAUAG